GACGAACGCUGGCGGCGUGCUUAACACAUGCAAGUCGAACGGAAAGGCCCUGCUUGCAGGGUACUCGAGUGGCGAACGGGUGAGUAACACGUGGGUGAUCUGCCCUGCACUUCGGGAUAAGCCUGGGAAACUGGGUCUAAUACCGGAUAGGAGCCAUUUUUAGUGUGAUGGUUGGAAAGUUUUUUCGGUGUGGGAUGAGCUCGCGGCCUAUCAGCUUGUUGGUGGGGUAAUGGCCUACCAAGGCGGCGACGGGUAGCCGGCCUGAGAGGGUGGACGGCCACAUUGGGACUGAGAUACGGCCCAGACUCCUACGGGAGGCAGCAGUGGGGAAUAUUGCACAAUGGGCGCAAGCCUGAUGCAGCGACGCCGCGUGGGGGAUGACGGCCUUCGGGUUGUAAACUCCUUUCGCUAGGGACGAAGCUUUUUGUGACGGUACCUAGAUAAGAAGCACCGGCUAACUACGUG
rnacentral:rRNA from 1 species